rnacentral:rRNA from 1 species
GCCGCGUGAGGGAUGACGGCCUUCGGGUUGUAAACCUCUUUUACCAGGGAAGAAGCGAGAGUGACGGUACCUGCAGAAAAAGCGCCGGCCAACUACGUGCCAGCAGCCGCGGUAAUACGUAGGGCGCAAGCGUUAUCCGGAAUUAUUGGGCGUAAAGAGCUCGUAGGCGGUUUGUCGCGUCUGCUGUGAAAUCCCGAGGCUCAACCGCGGGCCUGCAGUGGGUACGGGCAGACUAGAGUGCGGUAGGGGAGAUUGGAAUUCCUGGUGUAGCGGUGGAAUGCGCAGAUAUCAAGAGGAACACCGAUGGCGAAGGCAGAUCUCUGGGCCGUAACUGACGCUGAGGAGCGAAAGGGUGGGGAGCGAACAGGAUUAGAUACCCUGGUAGUCCACCCCGUAAACGUUGGGAACUAGGUGUGGGGUCCAUUUCACGGGAUCCGUGACGCACCUUACGCAUUAAGUUCCCCGCCUGGGGAGUACGGCCGCAAGGCUAAAACUCAUAGGAAUUGACGGGGACCCGCACAAGCGGCGGAGCAUGCGGAUUAAUUCGAUGCAACGCGAAGAACCUUACCGAGGUUUGACAUAUACCAGAACGGGCUAGAUAUGGUC